GUUUCAGAGUGCUGUUUGCAGCCAUAUUUUUGAGUAUCACUGAGUAGGAGUAAGGCUUCAAAAAUUAGGCACUGAACUUUCUUUAAAAUGAAACUACCCAGAAAGGCACAUUUGAGGCAACAGCCAGAGUUAUUGGCAUACACAAUAGGCAGACACAGUAAUUUUGUGGCCCUUCAAAAUUAUAGCUACUAUAGAUAUAUACAGUUUUAUUCUCAAAUCUUCAACAAUAUCCAGGAUUGCAUCAAAAGAGGUGUGGCCAGCAGGGAGAGGGAGGGGACUGUCUCCCUCUACUCUGCCGUUAUGAGGCCCCAUCUGUAGUACAGUGUAAGACCUGGGAUCCCCUGUACAAGAGGGAUGAGGAGGCAUUGGAAUUGGUCCAAAGAAGGGCACAAAGAUGAUGAGAGGGCUGGAGUACCUCUCUAGUGAAGAAAGGUUGAGGGAACUGGGCUUGCUCAGCGUGGAGAAGAGAAGGCUACAGGAGACCUCAUCGCGACCAUUCAGUACUUGAGGGAGCUUAUAAGCAGAAUGGUGAUUGACAUUUUCUGUGGUCUAAUUAGUGAUGGGACAAGAGGGAAUAUCUUAAAACUAAAAGAAGGGAGAUGUAGGUCAGAUAUUAGGCAGAAACUCUUUACUCAGAGGGUGGUGAGGCUCUAGCACAGUCUGUGUUUUGUGAUUCUAUAAAUGUCACCUUCAAUGGAGGCAAUUGAAAAAACAAGUAUUUUCUCAGAGAAAAAGUAUGUUUCCCUCUAUUUUUUGAUACACAGUGAGCCCUUAAAGCAGAAGGACUGAAUGACAUCCCCUAACUGAAGCAUGCUCAGAGGUAGGGGAGCAAGCACAGGCAGCCUGUUCUGGAAUUUCUUCUUACAGAAAGUUGUCCCAGUUGAGUUUUUAUAGCUGUUAAACUCAGUAGAACUCUGGGGCUGAAGUACAACAAUACCAAAAUACGAACAUAAAAUACAUAUGCAUUGCAGUUUCAUUCUUCAGUGGGGAUAGAUAAAAAGGAGUACAGGGAGGCUUCUGAUAACUCUGAGAUAUAAAUUUUAGCACUUGCAACACAGUGGCCAACGAAGAGUGCAGCAACAGCCUGGAGGGAUUUUAGCACCACUAUGUGACAAUGACAACACUAUAUCUACAUGAAGAUGAUUUAUAGAAGGAUAAGAAAAGGAGUGUGGCAAAUUGCAAGGUGAAAGGAAAAAUCAAGGAAGCAGGAUGAAGUGUGGAGGGUAAGGAAGCAGAAAAUGAAGGAGAUAGUAGAAGCAGAGAUGGUGUUUGAGGAUGUAUGGCUACAGGUGGAGUGGGCAGGAUUAAGGGUGAAUGGGAUCUGUAAUACAAUAACAAGAUAAUUCUAAAACAAGACAACAUUUUCCUAAAUCUCUGUCAUUGUUGCUCUGCCGUACAAUAAUGAUGAUGUGCAAAAAUAAAAUCAGUUCGACAUACAAUCUGCAUCACUAUAUACAUAUAUGUACAUAUAUGCAAGGUUACAUAGAGAAUCAUAAACCUGAUAUUUUCCAAAUGCAGCAGGCUUCACAUUGCACUUCUCAUCAUUUUUGUAAUAUCACUUCUGUAGUUUGGAUUGGUGAAGUCUUGCAGCAAGAGUUUGGCCUUUCCUAAGUCCCAGAAAAACACCCAAAUGAAGAAUGAAUUUGCAUGGAAAAGAGUAUGCUUAAUGGAAAUCUUGAAUAUAAUAAAGUUUAAGUACUGGUAUUAGGAAGAUAAAACCCAUCCUAAAGAAAUUUUAGCUGCACUUGGUUUAUUGCAAAAUAAAAUACACUUCUGUUGCUUAAAGUACACAACUUCGUUCUUUUAAAUACUUGAGAAAAAAAGAAUGUUUACCUCUUACCCUCAAAGGAGGGAGUCAGGCUAACACUGAAGAUACAUGCUCCUCAAAAUACAUACCUUUAUGCAAUAGGGAAGAACAGAAAGAUGAAGUUAUAGAAAACUUACCUGAAGCCCCAAAUGUGAUCAAUUUUAAUCCAUAUUAUUCUGAAUUCUGAAUCCAAACAAAUACUUGCACACUAGCUAAGUCUGAACUCUGUCAAUAAAAACUCUAACAUAUGAAAGUUGCUUAUUAACAACAUGCAAAAAUAAUUGAUGCUAUACACUGAGUAACACUGCUGUUUAAUUACAGCUUUUCUCAUUCAGCACAGAAGAUACUGUGAAAUUAAUCCAUAAAAAUACAAAUAUGAAAGCAAUUCCUGAACAAGAAAUUUAUGGUUGAUAAUCUCAAAUACAGAAAGUAACUCAGGAAAAAUCACUUUUUACAAUUCUGAAUUGCAGCAACAAUGAAAAUGACAAAAACUGAGAAAAGCUUCCUUCUAUCACAAAUUGACUUAAUGACUGAUAGAAGCUGAAUGGAAUCAUAAUUAUAGUUAAAUGGUUUAAUAUGACUAAAGACAAUAUGUUCUUCAGCUUUAGAAUUAUCUACUUAUGCACUGCUGUGAAAGGAUGGAUUUGAUUGAAAAGUUUUUCAACAUGGGUAACAUUUGUCUAAAAAGAAAAAGUCCCUAAGAUCAAUGUAGUAUUAAUAAUUAUAUGUGGGUUAAUCAUCUGUAAGAGAAUUCCACAUAGGAUUAACAUUUAAAGUACACCAACAUUUAAAAUUCUGUGGAUGUUACUUAAAGUGAAUCAGCAGAUUAAUUGAGAAGAAAAAAAAAGCAACAAACAAAUAUUAAAUAUGUUCCUUAUUUUUUGUCAUUUUCUCUUAUUAAUAAGUGUGAUCACUUGAUUUGAAGCAAUUUGCUCAUGUACCUUGUAUCUAAGCUCUUAUUAUUUAUGAACAAUAUUUUCCUUGAAGUUUUGCAGGAAAUGGUGGGAUUGAAAUACUCCAGAAUUGGACUGACAAUAUAUAUAUAUAUAUAUAUAUAGUAAUCCAAAUUCCAUAAUAUACAGAUUUCAUCUGCUGCUAUUUGGAAUUUUUACACUGACUCUUCAGUCAAAAUGCGUAAAUCUGGUGACUUGUAUGCCUGAGAUGGCUCUUGGUCAAAGCUUACAUAAUACCUCUGCACAGGUGGAUAUAAAAGAUAAUACUACAGCUUGAAGAACUAUGAACUGAGAGCUUAAUCAACCAUCUAAAUACUUGUGAAUAUAAUUUAUGGAAAUUUCUUAUCGGUCUGAUGCACAGCACAGCAGGAAGGGCAGCAUGCUAUCAGAGCUGGCAGGCUAUGGGAGCUGAGGCCGUCUCGUAUACAGACAAAAGAGAAAUGUUGCACAAUGGAGCAGUUUAAAGAGCAGAAAGAGUCAUACAAGUUCAAAGGCAAAGGGAAUUGAUAACCUUGCUACCUCUUCAUUCGGAUUCAAAGAGAAGAACAGCAUUGGAAGAAGAUUGUAAAGGAUGUUAGAAUCAGUAGAUUUACUUGCUUGUCAUAACUUAAAGGUUGUCUGUGAUGUUGGAUUGCCAGAAGAUUAAAUCCUGUACUGGAGGAAUUGAAAUGUUAAAGUGACACUUUUAACAGCGCAUUUGAUGAAAAUGGUGAUGUCUUCUGCAAGAUGCACUGCACAGUGCUACCGUUCUCUUUUCAGCUUUAUAAGAACAAAAUUUUUGGAGAAAGAAAUUGAGGACUUGGAUCAAUGACUGUGGCUCUCACGUUCUACAGAGCCGUAGUGCUCUCACUCUUGAGGACCUGGUGGAAGCAUAAUAAAGUCAAUGGCUGAUUUACCAUUGACUUCCAUAAAAAUUUAUCUCCUGUGAUCUAAGGUAAUGUCCAUGAGUAAAUGGAAGACUGCUGAAGCAGUUCAUCUCAUCCUUUUAGCUGACUAAUAGCCAGGAAAUUACAUGAACUGUUGUGUGUAGAACAGAAAUUAUCUGAUCUAACUUCAAAAAUGUUUGGAGGCAUUUACAUGCAUUAUUAUUUGUUGUGAAGCACUCUUCAUAGACACAACUCUGGGAAAGACACGUAGUAAAUCACAGAAUCAUAGGAUCAGGGCAUAAUACAGAUUUAAAAGGAACUCUGGGAGUCUUCCAGCCUCUCUCUAGAAUUAGCACUGAAGCCCACAGGAAUUCUCCCAUCAAUGUCAAUAAGAACAGGACUAAUGUCAUCUUCUGUGAAUUGCUAUAAUCUAGUGUGUUUUUCUACCUUACAUAACUUCCAAAUUUAAAGGUUUGGGUUUUUUUUUUUUUUUUUUUUUUUGAAAAGUACCUCAGAAGGUAACCUGCUGAGCAUCAGCUGUAGAAGAAAAGGUGAUCAGAAAUGGGACAGACAGGUUGAAAAAGGGCAGAGACAACAGGCCCAAGAGAUGUAGCUGAAAAGAAACAGGUCAGGAAGAGAAGACUGGGGAUAGCUUUCCCUUACAUGUUUAAUCUUCACAGUAGUUGAAUCACUUUUUUUUUUUUUAACAGAUAAUACAUAGUGCAGCCAUAUGAUAUGUGUGAUAGUAAGUAUGUCAACUCUGCCUCCUCUUGAGAGACUGAGAUUAAAGAGGUGGAAACUGUAAAUGCUCUGGGAUCUCAGAAUAACGUUCUUUUCUAUGGGAAUGAAGUUUUUCCAUUUAGGUUUUGCUGAUUAUUACUUCAUGGGAAAGAUAUUACAAUAUCUCACUACUGUUUAUAAGAACCUGUAGGGAAGGAAAAAGUGUUGAGAAGGAGAAGAGCUAAGUCAGUGUAGGAUUUGAAAGAAAAAACUAUAAUUUCCUGGCUGAACUGCAGUAAAAGAAAUCCAAGCACAAAAGGAGGGAUGAGUAAAAUAAUGAGACAAACACAGAUUGGGAGUAUAUUUCAUUUACUAAAAGGUAGGUGCAGAAAGAAGAGAUAAAUACCAGGAUACAUUGGAGUUGCUUUGUAAAUACAACUGUGAGGACUUUGGAAGAGUAAAAAAUGGCAUUAGUAGGGUGUCAGUCAUGUCAUCCUCAGACAGGCACAUUGUCUGGGUAGCUCUCUGGUAGUGCUUGUUCUUCUCCAUUUGGGCACUAGAGGAGCCUAUUUGGACACUCAUCCUAUAGAUGCCUAUGUUGAGACAGAACAAUUAUACCCUCAGGUGGGACUCCUCUUUUCCAGCCUCAGAUAUCAACAGCAUAGAUCUAUAUUUCUAAAGUAAGCAUAUUAGGCUCUCUUUGUGCUCACUGGGGAGAAAUAAGGGCAAAAUCCGUUCGACCUAUUUGUGUCUUAAGCUCAUUUUGUACAAGAUAAACUGUGUCCUAGAGGUGUCUAUUAUGGGAGUUUAUGGUGUCAAGAUCAGGUGUAAAUGUCUGUAUUCCGGACAUCUUAGAACACCACCCUGUAAACAACUUUACCUUGCAGGCAGAUUUCAGAGGUUCCAUUAGGUUGUUAGCAACAUCAACGACACUUUCAUAGCCUGGGUCAUCUAAAGGGCACUGUGAUCAUCCAUGCAUCCUUUACUCUGGGCUGGUUUUGGUAUUAGCUACCUUCUCAGCUUUUUUCCAUUCAUCAGGAUCACAGAAUUGUUGAGGCUGACAGGGCCUUCUGGAUCCAUCUGCUCCAGCCCCUUCUCCAGC
ensembl:lncRNA